rnacentral:rRNA from 1 species
AUUGAACGCUGGCGGCAGGCCUAACACAUGCAAGUCGAGCGGAGCGGCGGACGGGUGAGUAAUGCCUAGGAAUCUGCCUGGUAGUGGGGGAUAACGUCCGGAAACGGGCGCUAAUACCGCAUACUAUCAGAUGAGCCUAGGUCGGAUUAGCUAGUUGGUGGGGUAAAGGCCUACAAAGGCGACGAUCCGUAACUGGUAUGAGAGGAUGAUCAGUCACACUGGAACUGAGAUACGGUCCAGAAUCCUACGGGAGGCAGCAGUGGGGAACAGUGGACAAGGGGCGAAAGCUGGAACCAGCAAUGCCGCGUGUGUGAAGAAGGUCUUCGGAUUGUAAAGCACUGUAAGUUGGGAGGCGUUACCAACAUAAUAAGCACCGGCUAACUUCGGGCCAGCAGCCGCGGUAAUUC